rnacentral:rRNA from 1 species
UGGGGAAUAUUGCACAAUGGGCGCAAGCCUGAUGCAGCCAUGCCGCGUGUGUGAAGAAGGCCUUCGGGUUGUAAAGCACUUUCAGCGGGGAGGAAGGCGUUAAGGUUAAUAACCUUGGCGAUUGACGUUACCCACAGAAGAAGCACCGGCUAACUCCGUGCCAGCAGCCGCGGUAAUACGGAGGGUGCAAGCGUUAAUCGGAAUUACUGGGCGUAAAGCGCACGCAGGCGGUUGAUUGAGUCAGAUGUGAAAUCCCCGGGCUUAACCCGGGAAUUGCAUCUGAUACUGGUCAGCUAGAGGCUUGUAGAGGGGGGUAGAAUUCCAUGUGUAGCGGUGAAAUGCGUAGAGAUGUGGAGGAAUACCGGUGGCGAAGGCGGCCCCCUGGACAAAGACUGACGCUCAGGUGCGAAAGCGUGGGGAGCAAACAGG